GGCAAGGUCACGGUGUAGGUAGGUCAUGGGGUCACAAUGUUAAGGAAGGUAAGGUCAAAGUAGGUUACGUCAUGGGGUUAAAGGUAGGGUAGGUCACGGGUUCAGGGUAAGUCUCGGAGGUUAAAAUAGGUCACGAGGUCAAGAUAGGUCAAGGGGAGGACAGGUUAUGUUUUUUUUUAAGUCAAUUUAGCUGGGUUAGAAUUAUUGUAAGUUAGAUUACGUUAGUUAGGUUAGGUUAGCUAGACACAGGUUAGGUUAAUUAAGAGAGGUUACGUUCUAGAUAUUAAGAGUGGUUAUGUUCUAGUUAAAUUUGGUUAUCGUUGAAGUAGGUCACGGGGUCAAGGUCACGGGGUCAAGAUAGGUCAUGGGGAGGACAGGUUAUGUUUUUUUAAGGCAACCCUGACCCCAUUUUCCUUAAUUUUAGAGUAGCCCCCCUUAAACCUCCCCCCUCGGCAACCCUAACCCCAUUUUCCUUAAUUUUAGAGUAGCCCCCCUUAAACCUCCCCCCUCGGCAACCCUGACCCCAUUUUCUUUCAGUACCUCUACCAUUAAACCAUUGUUCUUCUCUCUAAUGACAUUCCCUGACUUAAAACAAAAUCCUAACCCUUAUUUAUUUAUCUCAAGAAUAAGUUAACGUAUAUGUUUUCAUUUUAAGGCAACCCCCCUUAAGUCAGUUUAGCUCAGGUUAGAGUUAUUGAAAGUUAGAGUACGUUAGAGUUAGGUUAGGUUAGCUAGACAUUGUUUUUUCUUUCCAUCAAAGAAUACGGCUCAAGGGCAACAAAAGGGGUACAAAAAAAAAAAAAAAAAGCCCGCUACUCGCCGCCGGUUGAGAGUGGUUAGGUUCAGGAUACAAAGUAGUUAAAUUUGGUUAUCGUUAAAUUAGGUUGAUUAGGAUGAAGAUUGGACUCAAAACAGCAAUCCCGGUGGUCGUAAAAAGAUGUAAUUUGACUGUUGCGUGACCUUUGCAAAGCGAAUGAAAACGGAUAGACUGAAACAUUUAAAUCAGUACUCUCUAGAAAGGCGAAGGGUGGGAGGAGACGCCUAAAGUUUAUGAAUGGAUGAAGGGGGAUGUUAAGAAGGUUUUGGUUGUACACGAGGCGGGUAGGACACGCAGCAAUAAUAAUAAUAAUAAUAAUAAUAAUAAUAAUAAUAAUAAUAAUAAUAAUAAUAAUAUAGAUAAAUAGAUAAAGAUAUUAAUUUAGAAUAGACUUAGAAUCAAUGAAGAGACAGAGAGAGAGAGAGAGAGAGAGAGAGAGAGAGAGAGAGAGAGAGAGAGAGAGAGAGAGCGAGAGAGAGAGAGAGAGAGAGAGAGAGAGAGAGAGA